AGACCCCCUCCCGUGCAAAACUUCACGCACACGCGCAGGUGACAGCACACAGCACACGUAGAUUACACAAUGCACACAGCCGAAACGCACAAAGCGAACAACGCAAGCACAUAGUUUGAGAAUAAACAACAAACAAACAAACAAACAAAAAACACACCUUAACUUUGAAGUUUACUUAUUGACUCCAUACGUGCUUCAUAACAAAAAAACCUUAAAAUCAAUAGAAAAGGAACAGAAGUAACAAUAACAAAAACAAACUAACUCACAACGUGUUGUGGUAAAUGGCUGACAUACAGGACGCAAAACAACAACCACAGUGUCAGCCAUGUGCGCGACACAAAACGCAAUUGUAGUGAAAAGCAAUAAAUUGGGGUACUUUUCGUGAACUCGGGGAAACAAGAACAGAAAUGGCCAACUCGACAGUCGUGCUGUUUUGGAUCGUACUGACGGCGUGUUUUGUCGGAGGAUGGGGUCAGCUCAACUUGUAUUAUAACACCUGCUCGUCCAGUUAUUACGGUUUCUGUCGGCCCCGAUGUAAUGGAGGAGAAUACAGUUUCGGAACCGCGCCAUGCGCCAGUGGUUUCCUCGGAACCUGCUGUGCGGCAAGAAUACACUGCUCGUGGUAUGGAGGGACGUGUAAACAGACGUGCGACGCGAGGAACAACGAGGGGGAAUACACAACAAAAGUGUUUUGUCUGUCGCCAGGAACCAGGUGCUGUAUGCAGGCGUCGAACCCAGGACCCUCUACCUCUGGGCCGAACUCCGGAAACACUACGCUGAUGCCCACACCCAACACGCGAAGAGAACCAAUUUGUGGAAGAAGUGGAGCAGCCGCCCCUAGAAUUUCCAAUGGCUACACGACCCUCCCCUGCGAGUGGCCGUGGAUGGUGUCCAUUCGGCUUAACGGACAGUUCCUUUGCGCAGGUGUUCUCAUUGACAGGAGCACGGUUGUCACUACAGCCCAGUGUGCAAGUCCGGUACGGUUCGAAACCAGGAGUGCUACGUCUGACUGUUGGCGACUACGACACGGACAACAAAGACGUCUACGAAGUGAACGCUGAUGUCUCCCGCAUCGUCGUGCACCGCGGCUACGACCCCAACAACAACGACAUCCUGGCAUCAGCCAAUAACAUCGCGCUACUGAAACUAACCCAUGACGUCACUCUCCAGGAAUCGUGCCUACAGCCCGUCUGUCUACCCAGAAAUGGCUACUUCCCCAACACAUACGACAGGUGUUUUAUCGCAGGGUGGGGCGAA